UGCCACAGCCAUGUCACCCUGCAGCCCAAGACCGGUUACUCACUGAAGCUAAGCAGGGCUGAGCCUGGCCAGUACCUGGAUGGGAGACCACUAGGGAACACUAGGUUGCUGUUGGAA
rnacentral:rRNA from 1 species